AUUGAACGCUGGCGGCACGCCUUACACAUGCAAGUCGAACGGCAGCACGGGAGCAAUCCUGGUGGCGAGUGGCGAACGGGUGAGUAAAGUAUCGGAACGUGCCCAGUCGUGGGGGAUAACGUAGCGAAAGUUACGCUAAUACCGCAUACGAUCUAUGGAUGAAAGCGGGGGAUCGCAAGACCUCGCGCGAUUGGAGCGGCCGAUAUCAGAUUAGGUAGUUGGUGGGGUAAAGGCUCACCAAGCCGACGAUCUGUAGCUGGUCUGCGAGGACGACCAGCCACACUGGGACUGAGACACGGCCAAGACUCCUACGGGAGGCAGCAGUGGGGAAUUUUGGACAAUGGGCGAAAGCCUGAUCCAGCCAUGCCGCGUGCAGGAUAAAGGCCUUCGGGUUGUAAACUGCUUUUGUACGGAACGAAAAGGUUUGGCCUAAUAAGCUGAGCUCAUGACGGUACCGUAAGAAUAAGCACCGGCUAACUACGUGCCAGCAGCCGCCGUAA
rnacentral:rRNA from 1 species